AGUUCCGAGGGAGACGUCUGAGCGCAUCGCCGACCACACGGUCACCAUGUGGCGAGCGCGAGUCAAUGGUGAGACCGGCCCUGAUCA
rfam:Coriobacteriaceae bacterium EMTCatB1 DNA, scaffold1.